rnacentral:rRNA from 1 species
UACGUAGGGGGCAAGCGUUGUCCGGAUUUACUGGGCGUAAAGAGCGCGCAGGCGGUCAGAUAAGUCGACUGUGAAAGCCCCCGGCUCAACUGGGGAGGGUCAUUCGAUACUGUUCGACUCGAAGGCAGGAGAGGGAAGUGGAAUUCCCGGUGUAGUGGUGAAAUGCGUAGAUAUCGGGAGGAACACCAGUGGCGAAGGCGACUUCCUGGCCUGUUCUUGACGCUGAGGCGCGAAAGCUAGGGGAGCAAACGGG